GGCGACUUGGCCGAGCGGUCUAAGGCGCCGCACUCAAGUUGCGGUCUCGAAAGAGGCGUAGGUUCGAGUCCUACAGUCGUCA